AACGUAGGGGACAAACGUUAUCCGGAGUUACUGGGCGUAAAGAGCUCGUAGGCGGUGUGUCGCGUCGGAUGUGAAAGCCCGGGGCUUAACCCCGGGUCUGCAUUCGAUACGGGCAGACUGGAGUGUGGUAGGGGAGAUCGGAAUUCCUGGUGUAGCGGUGAAAUGCGCAGAUAUCAGGAGGAACACCGAUGGCGAAGGCAGGUCUCUGGGCAUUAACUGACGCUGAGGAGCGAAAGCGUGGGUAGCGAACAGG
rnacentral:rRNA from 1 species